UUUGUCUGUGUGAGUUUCACUUUGGACCAGAGUGGGAAAGCUCCAGAAUUCAGCCUCUUAUUAAGUAUGUAUUCCAUGACAUCCCAGAAGGCAUUUUUAUGCAAAGUGUCCUAAUGCUGUCAUAUUGAACACUUAAAAGCCUGGCCUGAUCUCAUACUGCUGUAACUCCAUCUACUUCAUUAAAAUGGCUCCUGGUCUACAUUGUUGUGAGAGCAAAGCAAACCCACAGGAAUCAUGAAAUGAUAAAGGAGUUCUUUAUAAACUGGCACUGCAGAAGGAUGUGAUGACAUCAGUAAGCAGAAUGACAAAAUGAUUUUACUCCACUUCCUGUGUUAGAGAUACUAUCUAUAUAACCACAGUUGUUAUCCAGGUAUUGCAACCAUGGCCUUGGCUAAUAGCAGCAGAAAGUGAAUUAGAUUUGCAAAAAUGAUCAGCAUUUUUGGAGCAUAGCAGCAAUUUGGCAAGUAUUUCAAUUUUCUGUAAUUCUGAAAUUUCUUUAACACCUUUAAAUAUAGGUGAGGCAAAUUGCUGUGAUAACAGAGACAAACCAAACUACAUGCCACUUUGCAAAUUAAUAUUUACAUGUUGCAUUUUAAUUUUCUGAUUAUUACAACUGUCAAAUAACGCUGACAUUUUUCUGCAAGUAUUUGCUCAAAUAAAAUACUGAAUUAGCUCUGUUCUCCUGUAGCUUCUCGGUAAGGCUGUGUAUGUCUGUCAUAGCCACAAUCUCCAUGGAAAUGGUGACAGGGUUGGUUUGUUUGCUUGUUUGUUUGUUUCAGAAAAAGUCCUGGUCCUAGUCACCAGAGUAAGUUCACUACUGAGCAGACUUCCUAUAUGAUUAGUUAUAAAUCUGGUUUUCUACAUGUCUCGUGAAGAGGAUUAUGACACAUAUUGUUGAAGACUGCAAAAUAACUCAACUUUCUGAAGGUUUUCAUGCCUUGAACAUCGUUGUUAAGAACGCUGUGCUUGACUUGACCCUACAGCUCGGGGCUGACCAGAAUCCAACUACUCGUAACAGAACAGAGAUAUUCAUAGCAUUUUACUAAUACUGAGCUAAAUUCUUCCAUCUUUAGACUACUUCUUACACAAGUUCCACUGACUUCAGUGGGACUACUUACAUGAGUAAGAAUCUAGGAGAACCUGGUUCUUUAUUAUUAACAGUGCUAUUUUACUAUUGGCUAUCAAUCAGGUAUUAUGUCUCACAAGUUUGUACAGAAUCCACUUUUUCAUCAACUUACCGGUAAUUACAAUUCCAGCACUAAUGACAAUUACUGUAUUCAAAUGCUUUUUCAAAUUCAGGGCUUUUCCUGUAAUUCUUUCUUUUGAUAUCAUUUUCCCUAUCCUGGGAAAAGCAGUAUUUCUUAAUCUGUCAAAGGGCAGAAAAUCCAACACCGUCUAGUAAACAAACAUGCCCAUACUUGUCUUUCGGAAAGUACUGCAACAGCAUACAGAGCUCAAAUAUUUCAUUCAGCUGCCAUGCAGGUUGUAACAAUCACAGAUUUGCAACCAAUCUACUUACAGCACUAUCCGCCCCAACUGUAUUUAGAUUCUUUGCAUACUGCUUAGCAGCUGCACAUACAUUUUUAUUCUAGAAAGCUAGAAGAACAGUGCUAGAAAUGACUACCUGUCAUAACCUAGUAUGUUAGUAGGGUUACCAUAUUUCAGCAAGCAAAAAAGAGGACGG